rnacentral:rRNA from 1 species
UAAGAGUUUGAUCCUGGCUCAGGAUGAAUGUUGGCGGCGUGCCUGAGAUAUGCAAGUCGAGCGUCUUUUCUACCGCAAGGUGGAAAGGUAGCGGCGGACGGCUGAGUAACACGUAGGGAUCUGCCCUUGUUUGGAGGAUAGCCCCGCGAAAGCGGGGAUAAUACUCCAUAAUGUCUUCGGACUAAAGAGAGUAACUUCUUGAACAAGGAUGUUCCUGCGGCUUAUCAGGUAGUUGGUAGGGUAAUGGCCUACCAAGCCUAUGACGAGUAGCUGGCCUGAGAGGGUGGUCAGCCAGAGGGGCACUGAGAUACGGGCCCCACUCCUACGGGAGGCAGCAAUCAGGAAUAGUCGGCAAUGGGCGAAAGCCUGACCGCGCGACGCCGCGUGUAGGAAUAAGCUCUUCGGAGCGUAAACUACUGUGGUAGGGGAAGAAGUCCCGACUUAGUCGGGAUUGACGGUACCUUACUAGAAAGGGGCCGCUAACUGCGUGCCAGAAGCGUCGGUAAUACGUGGGCCCCAAACAUUAUCCGGUUUUAUUGGGUGUAAAAAGUAGUGUAGGCGUUCUAAUAAGUCCUGGUUUAAAUACUAUAGCUUAACUAUAGGAAAGGCCGGGAAACUGAUAGAAUAGAGUUUUCUUUAGGGCGACUGGAACUUAGGGAGGAGUAGUGAAAUGCGUUGAUACCCUAGGGAACACCAGUGGCGAAGGCGAGUCGCUGAAAGAUAACUGACGCUGAGACACGAAAGCUAGGGUAGCGAAGCAGAUUAGAGACCUGCGUAGUCCUAGCCUUAAACGCAUGCUUGCUAGCUGCAUCUAUCCGAUUUAUCGGAAAGGUGUGGCGUAGGUAACCCGUUAAGCAAGCCACCUGGGGAGUACGGCCGCAAGGUUGAAACUCAAAGGAAUUGGCGGGGAGGCACACAACCAGUGGAACAUGUGGUUCAAUUCGAAACGAACCGAAGAACCUCACCAGGGUUUGACAUCUCAGCGUUCUAUUCCGCAGAAAUGCGGGAAAUCCGUAAGGAGGCUGGGACAGGUGCUGCAUGGCUGUCGUCAGCUCGUUCCGUGAGGAGUGCCCUUAAGUGGGACAACGAGCGCAACCCCCAUCCUGUGUUAAAUCUGUCACAGGAAACUGCCCUGAUAUUAAUCGGGGAGGAAGGAGGGGUAGACGUCAAGUCAGCAUGGUCCUCAUACCCUGGGCUACACACAUGUUACAAUGGAUAAAAACAACGGGUUUUGCAAGCCGGCAACGGCAAGCAAAUCUCUAAAAUUUAUCCUCAGUGGGGAUUGAGGUCUGAAACUCGACCUCAUGAACACGGAAUUGGUAGUAAUCGCAAGUCAGCUAUAUUGCGGUGAAUACGUUCUUGCCUCUUGCACACACCGCCCGUCAAGCCAACAAAGUCGGGAAAAUUUGAACCCCGAGUUAAUCGGGGGAGAAUUUACUCGGCGAUGGGGGUUAAGUCGUAACAAGGUAUCCGUUCUGGAAGGAGCGGAUGGAUCACCUCCUU